ACCCGCUGAACUUAAGCAUAUCAAUAAGCGGAGGAAAAGAAACCAACAGGGAUUGCCUUAGUAACGGCGAGUGAAGCGGCAACAGCUCAAAUUUGAAAUCUGGCCUCUUUGGGGUCCGAGUUGUAAUUUGCAGAGGGCGCUUUGGCGUCGGCAGCGGUCCAAGUUCCUUGGAACAGGACGUCACAGAGGGUGAGAAUCCCGUACGUGGUCGCUAGCCUUCGCCGUGUAAAGCCCCUUCGACGAGUCGAGUUGUUUGGGAAUGCAGCUCUAAAUGGGAGGUAAAUUUCUUCUAAAGCUAAAUACUGGCCAGAGACCGAUAGCGCACAAGUAGAGUGAUCGAAAGAUGAAAAGCACUUUGGAAAGAGAGUCAAACAGCACGUGAAAUUGUUGAAAGGGAAGCGCUUGCAGCCAGACUUGCCUGUAGUUGCUCAUCCGGGCUUUUGCCCGGUGCACUCUUCUGCGGGCAGGCCAGCAUCAGUUUGGGCGGUUGGAUAAAGGUCUCUGUCAUGUACCUCUCUUCGGGGAGGCCUUAUAGGGGAGACGACAUGCAACCAGCCCAGACUGAGGUCCGCGCAUUUGCUAGGAUGCUGGCGUAAUGGCUGU
rnacentral:rRNA from 1 species